GUGACACCCGUCACUUUCGAAAUAGUAAAAAUACUUCGAUAAAUACAAAUAUCUUAAAUAUCCAUAUAUAAAUAUUUGAAAGUCCACAUCCACGCAUGAAUUCCAUAAUAUAAAAUAAAAUCCGAAACAUAAGAUACGACAUAAACCGAGAAUCCAAAAUACGAAAUACCAUAACGAUAAAAGUCCAAAGGCCUAGAGGCCCGAUAACGAUAAAAUCGAUAAAACGAUAGAAGCCCAAAAGCCCAAUAGCACCGGUCCGAAAAAUC
rnacentral:lncRNA from 1 species